rnacentral:rRNA from 1 species
AGUGAACGCUGGCGGUAGGCCUAACACAUGCAAGUCGAACGGCAGCACAGUAAGAGCUUGCUCUUACGGGUGGCGAGUGGCGGACGGGUGAGGAAUAAAUCGGAAUCUACUUUUUCGUGGGGGAUAACGUAGGGAAACUUACGCUAAUACCGCGUACGACCUACGGGUGAAAGCAGGGGAUCUUCGGACCUUGCGCGAUUGAAUGAGCCGAUGUCGGAUUAGCUAGUUGGCGGGGUAAAGGCCAACCAAGGCGACGAUCCGUAGCUGGUCUGAGAGGAUGAUCAGCCACACUGGAACUGAGACACGGUCCAGACUCCGACGGGAGGCAGCAGUGGGGAAUAUUGGACAAUGGGCGCAAGCCUGAUCUAGCCAUACCGCGUGAGUGAAGAAGGCCUUCGGGUUGUAAAGCCCUUUUGUUGGGAAAGAAAAGCAGCAGGUUAAUACCCCGCUGUUCUGACGGUACCCAAAGAAUAAGCACCGGCUAACUUCGUG